AGCUCGAGCUCUUGCUCCUUCGCCUGCUUGCUGCGUGAGACUGAGUAACUGCUAGAUCCUUGGACUUCCAUUCACAGCUGCGACUGAACCAUUGUUGGGAAUUGGGCUGCCGACUGUAAGUCAUCAAUAAAUUCCUUUACUAUCUAGAGACUAUCCAUAAGUUCUGUGACUCUAGAGAACCCUGACUAAUACAGAAGUUGUUACCAGGAGUAGUUCUAGAGUAACAGAAGUACAAGGAUGAAUCUUUUAAAAUACUGGAAUUGGCUUGUUGAUCCACCAGCACUUUCAACCAUUGAAACCUCUCCAGAUUCUCUCCCUCCUGGGAGCUCAGAGAAUUUUGAAGACCCAUGGUUGAAACUAUAUUCCAAACUUAAAGAAGCUAAUGCCCUUGAUUUUCUUAAUGAAUUAGGUGAUUCAGUGCACAAAGCUUUCUACAAGAUGGGGAAAAAAUCGGAAAAUGAUUUUACUGGCUGGCUGCUCUUAGUAUCUGUGGAAAAAAUGAUGAAUGAAAGGAAGGAGCUGUGUGAUAAAAUCGAAAGGCUCCAGACACAAGUAAACGAUCUAAAAGUUGCUAAGUGUGUCCUUGAGGAGAAUCUUCUCUCUUGUAGCAAUAGAGCUCAAGUUGCAGAAAAUCAAACAGAAACUCUCAUUGUAAGGUUGGCUGAACUACAGCGAAAAUUCAAGUCUCAGCCUCAGAGUGUGUCAACAGUUAAAGUAAGGGCUCUAAUUGGCAAAGAAUGGGAUCCUACAACAUGGGACGGGGAUGUGUGGGAAGACCAUGUUGAAGCUGAGAAUUUUGAAUCUUCAGAUUCUCAAGGGUUUGCCCCACAUGAGGAAGUAGUACCCUCAGCCCCACCCCUUGAAAUAAUGCCUUCGCCACAUGAGGAAAUUAAUUUUGCAGAGUCUGAUAAACCAGCAAUGACUUUCACUACUGAUGUUUCUCAAGGCCCACCAAUAGUUUCUUCUAGACCUGUAACCAGACUCAAAGCAAAACAGGCUCCUAGAGGGGAGGUAGAAAGUGUAGUCCAUGAGGAAAUUCGCUACACUACUAAGGAGCUUAAUGAGUUUGCUAAUUCAUUCAAGCAGAAACCUGGUGAAUAUGUGUGGGAAUGGAUUUUAAGGGUGUGGGAUAAGGGUGGAAGGAACAUAAGACUAGAGCAGGCUGAGUUUAUUGACAUGGGUCCUCUGAGUAGAGAUUCUAGGUUUAAUACGGAAGCUCGCAUAGUUAAAAAAGGUAUCAAAAGUUUGUUUGAAUGGUUGGCUGAGGUGUUUAUCAAAAGAUGGCCUACUGGAAAUGACUUGGAGAUGCCUGAUAUUCCAUGGCUUAGUGUUGAUGAAGGGAUUUUAAGACUUAGGGAAAUUGCAAUGCUAGAGUGGAUAUAUUGUGUAAAGCAUAAUUGCCCACAAUGGGAAGGUCCAGAAGAUAUGCCUUUCACUAGCUCUAUAAGACGCAAAUUGGUGAGAGGGGCACCAGCACAUUUGAAGGGUUUUGUUCUUUCCCUUUUCCUUGUGCCAGAUCUUAGCAUUGGAGAUGCUUCUGCUCAAUUAGAUGAAUUAAAUUCACUGGGUUUAGUUGGAUUCCGAGGUAACAAGGGCCAGGUGGCAGCAUUGAAUCGCCGGAGACAAGGUGAUUCUAGUUUUUAUAAUGGACAGCGUAGACAAAAGAAUGUUUAUAAUAACAUACCCAGUAAUGGUCAGCACAGGAGAGGUGAAAUUUAUAAUGGCAUGACUUGGUUGGACCUUUGGUACUGGCUAACCAAUCAUGGUGUUUCCAGGAAUGAAAUACAUAGGAAGCCUACUGCAUAUUUGUUUGAUCUGUAUAAGCAGAAAAAUUCUCAAACAAAUGAAAGAAAGGCUACAUUAGAUCGUGGUAAACAGCAAUCUCGGCCAGUGAAUCAAUUUCCAGACUUGAGACAGUUUGCAGAUCCAGAACCCCUUGAAUGAAGGGGUGGCCAGGUUCCGCUGAGGAAGGAUCUUGAUAAGACACUCAAAGGUUUUGCUGUUACCCUUUCUCCAGUUCUUCCCCAGAGGGACCUACGGCCUUUUACAAGGGUAACUGUACACUGGGGAAAAGGAAAUAAUCAGACUUUUCGGGGUCUGCUGGAUACUGGUUCUGAGUUGACACUGAUCCCAGGGGAUCCCAAGAAACAUUGUGGCCCUCCAGUUAAAGUAGGGGCUUAUGGAGGGCAGGUGAUUAAUGGAGUUUUGACUGAUGUCCGACUCACAGUAGGUCCAGUAGGUCCCCGGACACAUCCUGUGGUGAUUUCCCCAGUUCCAGAAUGUAUAAUUGGGAUAGAUAUACUCAGAAAUUGGCAGAAUUCUCAUAUUGGUUCCCUGAACUGUAGAGUGAGGGCUAUUAUGGUUGGAAAGGCCAAAUGGAAGCCUUUAGAGUUGCCUCUGCCAAAGAAAAUAGUGAAUCAAAAACAGUAUCGUAUUCCUGGAGGCAUUGCAGAAAUUACUGCCACUAUCAAGGACUUGAAAGAUGCAGGGGUGGUGGUUUCCACUACAUCUCCGUUUAACUCUCCUAUUUGGCCAGUGCAGAAAACAGAUGGAUCAUGGAGAAUGACAGUUGAUUAUCGAAAACUAAAUCAGGUAGUAACUCCAAUUGCAGCUGUUGUACCAGAUGUAGUUUCGUUACUUGAGCAAAUUAACACAUCUCCUGGCACCUGGUAUGCGGCUAUUGAUCUGGCAAAUGCCUUCUUCUCAGUACCUGUCCAUAAGGACCACCAGAAGCAAUUUGCUUUCAGUUGGCAAGGCCAACAGUAUACUUUCACAGUUUUGCCUCAAGGAUAUAUUAACUCUCCUGCCCUGUGUCAUAAUUUAGUUAGAAGGGAUCUUGAUCGUCUGGAUCUUCCACAAAAUAUCACAUUGGUGCACUAUAUUGAUGACAUUAUGCUGAUUGGACCAAGUGAGCAGGAAGUAGCAACUACUUUGGACUCAUUGGUAACACAUAUGCGUAUCAGAGGAUGGGAAAUAAAUCCAACCAAAAUUCAAGGACCAUCUACCUCAGUGAAAUUCUUAGGAGUCCAGUGGUGUGGGGGCAUGCAGAGAUAUUCCUUCUAAGGUGAAAGAUAAGUUAUUGCACCUGGCCCCUCCUACAACCAAGAAAGAAGUACAACGUUUAGUGGGUCUAUUUGGAUUCUGGAGACAACACAUCCCUCACUUGGGUGUGUUACUUAGGCCUAUUUACCAAGUGACUCGGAAAGCUGCUAGCUUUGUGUGGGGCCUGGAACAGGAGAAGGCCCUUCAACAGGUCCAGGCUGCUGUGCAGGCUGCUCUACCACUUGGGCCAUAUGACCCAGCAGACCCGAUGGUACUUGAGGUGUCUGUGGCUGAUAGAGAUGCUGUUUGGAGCCUCUGGCAGGCUCCUGUAGGUGAAUCACAGAAAAGACCUUUGGGAUUUUGGAGCAAAGCUCUACCAUCAUCGGCAGACAACUAUUCUCCCUUUGAAAAACAGCUCUUGGCCUGCUAUUGGGCCUUAGUGGAAACUGAACGUUUGACAAUAGGACACCAAGUUACUAUGCGACCUGAACUACCCAUCAUGAGCUGGGUACUAUCAGACCCUGCAAGUCAUAAAGUGGGACGCGCACAGCAGCAGUCUAUUAUCAAAUGGAAGUGGUAUAUACGUGAUCGGGCCAGAGCAGGUCCUGAAGGCACAAGCAAGUAACAUGAAGAAGUUGCUC
rnacentral:lncRNA from 1 species